GACGAACGCUGGCGGUGUGCUUAACACAUGCAAGUCGAACGGAAAGGCCCUGCUUUUGUGGGGUGCUCGAGUGGCGAACGGGUGAGUAACACGUGAGUAACCUGCCCUUGACUUUGGGAUAACUUCAGGAAACUGGGGCUAAUACCGGAUAGGAGCUCCUGCUGCAUGGUGGGGGUUGGAAAGUUUCGGCGGUUGGGGAUGGACUCGCGGCUUAUCAGCUUGUUGGUGGGGUAGUGGCUUACCAAGGCUUUGACGGGUAGCCGGCCUGAGAGGGUGACCGGCCACAUUGGGACUGAGAUACGGCCCAGACUCCUACGGGAGGCAGCAGUGGGGAAUAUUGCACAAUGGGCGGAAGCCUGAUGCAGCAACGCCGCGUGCGGGAUGACGGCCUUCGGGUUGUAAACCGCUUUCGCCUGUGACGAAGCGUGAGUGACGGUAAUGGGUAAAGAAGUACCGGCUAACUACGUG
rnacentral:rRNA from 1 species